rnacentral:ncRNA from 1 species
UCUUAUUUUGAGCAGGUGGAGGGACUAGCCCUAUGAAGCCCAGCAACCGACCGUAAUUCCAUUGUAAAAUGGGGCGGAAUUCUUCGCCGGAUUUUCUUGAAAUCCACAAGGCACGGUGCUAAUUCUUGCAGCCAAUGGCUGGGAGAUAAGA